CCCAGGGACUCUCGCGCAGAGCUGCAGAUGGGAUUCUCACUAUGAACUCUGUGCUGCUCAAUCAGAUACGCUCAGUUCUGUA
rnacentral:miRNA from 12 species